rnacentral:rRNA from 1 species
GAGUUUGAUCUUGGCUCAGAACGAACGCUGGCGGCAGGCCUAACACAUGCAAGUCGAACGCCCUCUUUCGGGAGGGAGUGGCGCACGGGUGAGUAACGCGUGGGAAUCUGCCCUUUGGUUCGGAAUAACCCUGGGAAACUAGGGCUAACGCCGGAUAAGCCCGAGAGGGGAAAGUUUACGCCGAAGGAGGAGCCCGCGUCCGAUUAGCUAGUUGGUGAGGUAAGAGCUUACCAAGGCGACGAUCGGUAGCUGGUCUGAGAGGAUGAUCAGCCACAUUGGGACUGAGACACGGCCCAGACUCCUACGGGAGGCAGCAGUGGGGAAUCUUGCGCAAUGGCCGAAAGGCUGACGCAGCGACGCCGCGUGUGGGAUGACGGCCUUCGGUUGUAA